rnacentral:ncRNA from 1 species
CUACGUGCUCCGGGGUCGGUGUAAUUCCGAACCGGCGGUUACAGUCCGCGACCCGACCGCAUCCAGCGGCCGGUUGACCUGGUGAAACUCCAGGACCGACGGUGAAAGUCCGGAUGGGAGGCAGCACGAAG